rnacentral:rRNA from 1 species
UACGUAGGGGCCAAGCGUUGUCCGGAUUUAUUGGGCGUAAAGAGCUCGUAGGCGGUUCGGCAAGUCGAAUGUGAAAUCUCCACGCUCAACGUGGAGGGGUCAUUCGAUACUGCCGUGACUCGAGUCCGGUAGGGGAGUGUGGAAUUCCCGGUGUAGCGGUGAAAUGCGCAGAUAUCAGGAGGAACACCGGUGGCGAAGGCGGGUCUCUGGGCCGUAACUGACGCUGAGGAGCGAAAGCAUGGGGAGCGAACAGG